ACUGCCUCUCAGCUUUUGGGCUAAGAUCAAGUGUAAUGUCUGUUUUUAUUAGUUUAAUAAUUCUACAAAUUGUACAUACAAACAAGUACACAAAAAAUUGAAGGCAUUAAACAGUUUAAUUCCUUAAUUUGAAUCAGUUCAGGACAAAACAGUUUUUUCAGUCUAUAGAGUGCUAGUCCUUCUAAA